ACGUAGGUGGCAAGCGUUAUCCGGAAUUAUUGGGCGUAAAGCGCACGCAGGUGGCUUCUUAAGUCUGACGUGAAAGCUCCUGGCUUAACCGGGAGAGGUCGUUGGCAACUGGGAGGCUUGAGGCAAGGAGAGGGGCGUAGAAUUCCCGGUGUAGUGGUGGAAUGCGUAGAUAUCGGGGGGAAUACCAGAGGCGCAAGCGGCGCCCUGGCCUUGGCCUGACGCUCAGGUGCGAAAGCGUGGGGAGCGAACGGGAUUAGAUACCCCGGUAGUCCACGCCAUAAACGAUGAAUACUAGGUGUUGGAGGAUUUAAACCCUUCGGUACCGCAGCUAACGCGUUAAGUAUUCCGCCUGGGGAGUACGACCGCAAGGUUA
rnacentral:rRNA from 1 species